rnacentral:rRNA from 1 species
UACGAAGGGGGCUAGCGUUGCUCGGAAUCACUGGGCGUAAAGGGUGCGUAGGCGGGUCUUUAAGUCAGGGGUGAAAUCCUGGAGCUCAACUCCAGAACUGCCUUUGAUACUGAAGAUCUUGAGUUCGGGAGAGGUGAGUGGAACUGCGAGUGUAGAGGUGAAAAUUCGUAGAUAUUCGCGAAGAACACCAGUGGCGAAGGCGGCUCACUGGCCCGAUACUGACGCUGAGGCA